GUGCAGCAGCUUGAUGUGGGAUCUCAGUUCCUAGACCAGGGAUGGAACCCAGGCUGCAACAAUGGACAUGUAGAAUCCUAACCACCAGACCACCAGGGAACUCCCACAAAACCUACCUUCUUGAUAGGUGAGAUGAGGACAGUAAUCCAUGCCUUUCAGUCUGUGUGAAACAAACAAGCCAGUAGCUGCAAAGCGGUUCACACCAUUCUGGGCACACAGGAGGCACCUAAUACGGGUGUCCCCCCGCUGCAUUAUGGAUUGAAUAUUUGCAUCCCCCCCCCCAGAUUCCUAUGUUGAAGCCCUAAAUGCAUUGGGAUGGUACUUGGAGAUGGGGCCUUUAGAAGGAAAUUAGGAUUACAUGAGGUCAUGUGGGUGGCGACCCUCCUGGUGGGGUUAGUGCCCUAAUCAGAAGGGACAUGGGAGCACCCACCCUCUUCUCCCCACUUGCACACACAUGGAAAAAACCAAGUGAGCACAUGGCAGGAGGGUGGCCCAUGAAAAAAGAGCCAUCACCAGACACCAACCCUGCUGGUACCUUAUCUCAGACUUCCAGCCUCUGCACCUAUGAGAAAACUCAACUUCUUGUUGAAGCCACUCCAUCUAUGAUAUUUUGUUACGGGAGCUCCAGCUGACUAACACACCUCUCUCCAUCCCCCUUCCCGGGAGACAGCAGCUCAGCUCUGCCCUCUCCCUUUCUCAGCUCCCAGGGGAAGGGAACUGUAGGCUCCCCUGUGUGUCAGCCUGUCUGUGCCUGGAGAGGGCUCUGGAAUACGGUUCACCACAGUGUGAGCCAGAGCUAAUUGUCUCCGUGCGGUUGGACUUUGUACUUUGAAUUUGUACCUUUAUGAAUUAGUUUAAUUUUUUAUAAUAAGCAUAUCUCACUUUUUUUUAGGGCCAUACCCAUGGCAUAUGGAGGUUCCCAGGCUGCGGGUCAAAUUGGAGCCACACCACAGCCACAGCAACUUGGGAUCCGAAGUGCACCUGCGACCUACACCAUAGCUCACAGCAACACCGGAUCAAUAACCCACUGAGUGAGGCCAGGGAUUGAACCUGAGUCCUCAUGGAUACUAGUUGGGUUCAUUACAGCUGAGCCACAACAGGAACUCCCUAUCAUGUUUGUAAUCAAAGAAACGCUCAGAGAAGUCUCUCGCAGUGAGCUGCCCAGAGCCCUCUCUCGGCGGCCCUGCUUCUUUGGGCCUAGGGGCCCGUGGCAGACUUACCUGACUCUCUACCUGACAGCUCAAAAAGCAAAGAAAAAAGGCAUGCAUGGACGUGUCCAGAAGGCGAGGGUUCCCAGCUGCCUGUGGGCAACCAGCACCUAUCACUGCUACUAAAGCCUAUUCUGCUCUCCUUGGCUCAUUAGUGAUGAGAGCUGAACACCGGGCUGAUGGGUUGUGCCCUCUGCGUGGCUGGUCACGGGCACCCGGUUCUGCCAUCAUGUGUUUUCCUUGUCAAAUGCUCAGAGCCAAAUGGAGAUGACUCACUUUUUCUAAUAUCUCCAUAUCCGCCCCCCACCCCGAAUCGGUUCCAUAUCGAUCUGCUUCUAACAGUUGGUGUAGGUAUUCUUUUACAGUUGCUAUUGCCAAUCAUAAAUAUGAUUCAAGAUUUUUUUAAAAGACUUGGAAAUAUUUCUGAGACCACCACAGCUCCCCUGACAGAAGAAAUGCCAACUGUCUUCCCGUCUGGAUUUGUCUCUGGUGGGGCUCAGACGGGGCAGAGCCUGGGGCCCGGCACCCUCUGCUCUGGAUGCAGCCCCAGGGUCUGGGGCUGGGGGGAAAGCUGCCCAUCAGCCCUGCUCAGCCACGAGUCCUGGCGGGGAGGCGCCCACGGACCCUAACCCAGGAGGGGGAGGGUUGGUGGUCCCUGUGUGACCCCAGGCUCAGGCAUGUGUGGAGUCUGAGACAUACUCACCCCCCAUAAGCUGCUGGACGACACUCGGGACCCAGGUUCCCGACGGCAAAGCGAGGAGGGGGUUGGCGUAAUACCGCCUCUGGGGCUGUGGUCAGAACAGGCUUGUGGGGGGAGGAGGAGAAGGGGCCGGGCAGGUGCCUGAGCUCACUGGUGUUAGCUGACAGAAUGGGGCAGGGCCACGACUCGCUGUCCUUCUCCUCCUGUUCACACGUCAUUUCCUCUAAGGUCUUUGCGACAGGACCUUAAGAUCCUCAUCAACACCUCCUCUUUCGGGAGCUCCCAUUGUGGCGCGGUGGAAACGAAUCCGACUAGUAUCCAUGAGGACUUGGGUUUGAUCCUUGGCCGCGCUCAGUGGGUCGGGGAUCCGGCGUUACGGUACAGGUCGCGGAUGUGGCUCAGAUCCCACGUUGCUGUGGCUAUGGUGUAGGGCAGCAGUGGCACCUCCAAUUCGUCCCCCAACCUGGGAACUUCCAUAUGCCCCAGGUAUGGCUCUAAAAAGACAAAAAAAGAAAAAAGAAAAAGAAAACACUUCAUCUCUCAAGAUGUUGGAAAGAGAGUUCCCGUUGUGUCUUCUCGGGUUAAGGACCCAACAGUGGUCUCCAUGAGGAUGCGGGUUUGAUCCCUGGCCCUGCUCAGUGGGUUAAGGAUCUGGCUUUGUCAUGAGCUGUGGUGUAGGUCUCAGAUGUGGCUCAGAUCUGGUGUUGCUGCAGCUGUGGUGUACACCUGCAGCUGCAGCUCUGAUUCCACUCCUAGCCUGGGAACUUCUGGAGGAUGUUCUGAGAGGGAAGACCGUUCUCUGGCUGCUUCCCUCAGUGACACUUGGGACCUGAGCAACCUCAGUCCCUGGUCACCUCCCAACCUGGUUAGGAUGGAAGCCUGUAGCCCAGGCUCCUGUGCCACCUGCUGGCUCACUGCCUGUCCAUCCUGGAACCCCGCCCCUUCUCACUGCUGGGUGCUGGUCUUUGGCUCCACGUGGCACCCUUAGCUCCCUACUGGAGGCUGGUGCUGGCAGCUGGAACCAAUGUCCUUGGGCCCAUCCGUGACUCGUUAGUCAAGGGUGAUCGGAGCCCACAGACAUCUGUUGAGUCUGCAAUAUGGUCCAGGAGGGGAGAAGGCAGGGAAGGGGCCAGAAGGCAGGAGCAGACUAUCUAUGGAGUGGCCACCUCCUCUGGCUCCAAGAUGACAUCCUGUUGCCUCUAAUUCACACCAACCCUGGGAGGGGGAGAUGAAGCUCGGGGAGAUGAAGCCAUCCUUCCAGCCCAACAGAGUGGGAACCAAGGUCAGCUGACUCCGAAGACCUUGCUCUUUCCACCAGACGGUGAUUCCUCUAAUAACCCAGAGAUGACGGGGUCAAAGAACCAGGUACUCAACCCCCUACCACAGCUUUGUUUAGUAGCAAGAAGCUCUGUGGGUACAUGGCUCAGAGAGCUGGGAAUUUCUAGGAUGGUUGUGAUUUCAAAUGAUCUGUCUCACUGCCUUCAUAAUCCACAAGGUUGUCUUGGAAGUCCUAGGGUACUCGGACGGCUUCCAGGGUCCCUCCUGCCCAGGGCCCCACAUUCUGGCUGAGCAUCUUUUUUUUUUUUUUCCCCAUCUUGACAUCAAUCAUUGGGAUGGACUGGCCCUCUACACAGGUGAUGUGGCCUCCUUCAUCUCAAAAUCCCCAGACCAGGUCAGGGUUACCCAAGGUGGGCUCAAAUCUCAUGAAAGACUAUGAUCCAUGGGUGACCCAGUGGAGAGAAGUUCAUCAAGGCUGGAUCCUGAGAAGCAAUUCCACAUGCCUGUCCAAGGGAGCUCCAGAACCAAGGUAUGGAACAUUCUUCCAUCCCACAAGAGGAAAGGGGGCUGAGCUGGAUUCAUGUUAUAAGGCGAGUGUCUCCCCAUACAACUUGGGGUGCUGGUGUUGGGAAGAUGGGAAAACAGCCUUGAGCCCCCCUACCGGUACUAAUCCUGCACCCCCUGAGGGCUCACCUCCCUACACAUGAAGGAAAUUUCUAGAAUAGUAGAAAUUUAGUAGUAGAGCCACCCAAAGGCCCCCACCAUGUUACAUGUCACAAGCGUCAGAUAACUCAACGUAGUAAGUUGGGGUCCCCUACUAGACAGGACUCUCUAAACUAGGGAUAACCCUGAAUUUUCCAGCCUGAAAGAGAGACUUGGCAAGUAGGUCUGGUGUAGGUUCUCAAGAAUGGUCCUUCCUCCACCCUCAGUGACAGCAGUGGGCCAUCCUCUUCCAAUGACCAGCUAACCCUGAUAUUCCAGGCCCUUCCCAAUCAGAGCCCCAACCGCCAAAGCUCACCCACAUGGGCCUUGGCUUCCUCCAGUGUCCAUUCAUCAGCCCCUUUGUUCAGCUGAGGCCAGAGCCCCUGCGAGUUGCUUUCCUGGUCUCCAGAAAAAAUGAAACUGCCUAAUGCUCAUUCAUUCAACAAAUAUGUCCUGAGCUCCAAGCCCUGUACCCGGGGCUGGGGUGCAACAUCCCCUGCACACAAAUCCCACACUCACAAAGCAACAUGGCACCCCGCAUACCCCUCAAAACUCAGAUCCAGCACCUUCCCCUCUUUGGAGACUUCCCUGGCCUUGCCCUGUCACCCUCCUCAGAAUCCUACACCCUCUCUUAGGUGGGUCCCUCGUUCCUCUUUCAGGGGGAAUGCAGGCUAAGGGCUAGAGUUGGGGUGCCUCACCCCCCGCAGCACCUCCAUGUGAAUAUCAAUCCAGAAGCUCCCCCCAAACCCAUAGAUUAGGGGUUUCUAUGGAGUCUUCAUCUCACAGGCAUAAUGGAUCCUUACCUCAUCCAUCCUUCGCUACGCUGAAGGAUGCGGCUGAAAGAUCCAAGCCUCGAAUCAACUCCAGGAGCCACCAAGAGUUGCCUCACAGGCUCCCCUCACUGUGGAAAUGGCAAGGGUUUUAGGAGCGCUGUGUCAGAAACCACGGGCGCAGAACCAGUAUAUAUUUCUUGGUUGAUCUCAGUCUCCAUCUUCCUUGAAGGCCCCGUCCUCUCAAGGGGAUGUUGCUCUCUAGACUCCCAAGGCGGUUCUGUCAGUUAGUAUUUGCCGACUGUCAGAUCCGGUGAACUGACAGAUCUCACAGCCGGAUUGGUGGGGAGAUGCGCCCCUGACGCCGGUCCAGGAUCCCACGCCCCUCGGCCAGCGGUUCUCAAGGUGUGAUACCCAAUGAGCAGCGGCAGCAGCAGCACCUGGGAAACGGCUCCGAAUGCAGAUUCUCGUGCUCCAUCACACAGUGCUGAAUCAGAAGCUCUGAGUGU
rnacentral:lncRNA from 1 species